GGUUCUUGCAGCAGACAUUUAUCAUUGCUGGUUUCGAUUCAUGCAUUGUAGCUUUGGUGAGUGUUAUUGUGUCAACGAUAGUGAAUAAUUUCCAGCACCACAUUAUGUCCAGAUUAGAGUCUGCAUCGAUUGCUGAUCAAAAUCUCAGACCAAGGUUUGCUGCAGGUAACUGAAACCAUGGAGAGCAAAACUGUCCAUAGGGGGAAUCCAUUGCAUUUUCAAGACUCAACGGAAGGCAGAGGAGUGGGAAAGCUUCAGAGUAGAAAAAAGAGAAGGCAUCAGGUGUGCCCUGAUGGAGACCAUGGCCUGGGGAAGCUGCAGGCGGGCUGGCUAGAGGAAACAUUCCUAGGUGGUUGAGGAGGGUGACUUACGACUUCCUCUCAAAGAUAUCUAAACCAAGACGUCUUCAACUUUAGCCUGCAUAUGCAUCACCUGGAAAUCGAGGUGUAGGGUGGGCCCUGAGUUUGCCUUUCUAAGGAGAGAUGCUAACAAGAUCUGGACCAUCAGCCACUCAAGACCUUUAACAUGUUUCAUACCUGUCGACACCCUGAUACACCUUGGCCUCUGAAAUACUUUACAAGCUUUGCUAAAGAACACGUUCAUAAUGUACCAGUUCUUUAGCACUGAUUCCCUUAGGGAAAUCUGUUCUUCAAGGCAAGUUUCCCAUUGCAGUUCUCUAUCAACCUGGCGGGGUAAGUUACUGCCAAUCAUUGACCAAGCAGCACAGAUCGGGAGAACUCCGUACCUUGGCUCUAUAAGCAACAUCACUGUUCAGAAUGGUCAUCCGAAGCAUGCACAUUGGAGAUACUAUGAACUCUGAUCACGUAAAUGAAGGAUUCACUGUACUUUUGUAAGCAGACAGAGAGGGUUUCCAGGGAUUUUAGGAAAUGAAUAAUCAACCUGAGCAAGCAGCCUGUUUUACAGCCUCUUGCCCUGCAGCCUGUGUGGAAUGCAGUCGCCUUGCUGGUUGGAACCAGCAACUGACAGACCCCAGCAACUUAUAGAUGAACCCCAGUGAAGUUUCUUCAUGCCAUGCUAAAGCCCUCCUCCCCUAGAGGAGCUAUAGCUUUAUUAUCAUAACCUGUGACCCAUCAUGGCAUGUAGAGGGGGUGUCUGGGCCACUGGGACCCCCCCAUACACAUGCCAUGAUGCACCUCUCCCUUCUCCAUCACUCCAUCAAACCCUCCUGUCACUUUCCCUUGGGAAGAUACGGCUUUGGAGAACACUUCCCGUGUGUGUCUUACUUAUGCCAAGUAACACAAUGCCUAUUGAUCAAAAUCUGAGUUCUCCUGGAGAGUCGUUUGUUACUCACCAGGCAAAUAAGCCCCAGUUUUUGGGAGGUAACAUUAUGAAAUAUUCUGAAGUAGUCCCAUGAAAGAUUUCUACUUUCCUUUUCAAAUUAUUCAUAAAUAAAUGAGCUUGCUUUGGGCUAUGGAGAUAGUUUUACAUGAAUAAAUCAAUUCCUCUGAGCAGGGGCACCAGUGUGGAGAUACAGGCUGACCCACCAGCUCUCGCCUGUCCCUGGGUGGGAGGGGCUGAGCCGGUGCCUCCCCUGGAUUGUUUCCUGUUUAGGCAUUGCCAGAGGCGGGAUGAGAAGAAAGGGCUGUGGGGAUCUGAGGCUUGGAAUUCCAAGAUUGCUCCCAACUAAGCUGUGGUGCUUAGAUGGACACCUGCACACCCCGUU
rnacentral:lncRNA from 1 species